AGAAUAGAGGUAUUUAAUGAUGAUCUUAGCUUAGAUUAAGGGAGAGAUUUGUAGAAAUAAGGAGAAAUUUGUGUGAAAUUUUGAGAGAAUGUGAUAGAAACAAUUGCUGUGGAAGGUUGGAACGUGUAGACAAUGAAAAGAAAAGAAGAAAACACUGUCUGCAUGUGAUUUGUAGCAGCUGCAUUAUUGAGGUAAUGGCUGUUAAUGACCGUUAACGGCUGUUACACAUGCAACCGGAAUUUGCUGAUAAAUAACGGGGUAAUGGGUAACGGGGCCUUGAAAAACCUGUAAGUAAUGUAACGACCAUUAUUUGAUCACUUUUAACUAUCUUCCAGGUUACAUGAUUUCCAUUCUCUAACCUUCUUCACUUUAACAAAAUUUUUGGAUCAUCUCCUAUGAUGAGGUUUUCUGUCACGCUAUAGUUGUGUAACUAUAGAUUAGUGAUUUUUUUCAUAAUCCAGAAGAUAAAUUCCCUUCUUGUUUUAUAGUACGUGCCUUCCUAUUAGUAUUAUCGUGUGGUCAGUGAGAAGCAAGGAUGUUUCCAUUUUUCUACUGUUGAUGCAUUGCUUGGGGAUCUCACUGUACAUUUGACAUGAGAGUCUUAACUUCAUGGCCUGCAGUUUACCAUCUUAACCUCUAAAUGGCUAUGGGCCGCAAUUAUGCCAUCAUGCUCCAUAAUUAGUGAUGUCAGAUUGUUUUACUAUCAUUGGGCAUAUGUCGACCUUCAGAUGUUGAAUCUUUAAUGCAUGGCAUUCUAUUCAUGAUGUGUAAUUCUGCCAUUUAUCAUCAAAUUAUAAGAUACUUGUUUUAAGAUGCUGAAAUUUUAUGAAUGGUUAUAGUCAUCUGAUGCAUAAUGCGGUCAUGUAUCAUUUGUCAGCAAAUUACAGCAAACAGAUUCAUUUUGGCUCCCUUUCUCUAACUUGCUGCUUUUCAUAGAAGCAUAUUUUAGUCUUGAUUACCUACUCUUGAAAAAACUGUCUAGGUGGCUAUUCUGUUUCAGAUCUGAAGAUGAAAGAUAUGAA
rnacentral:misc_RNA from 1 species